GUGCUUGCUUUCGAAGCACAAAAACUAAAAUUGGGGUGAUACAGAGAAGAGCAUAGCCCCUGUGCAAAGAUGACAUGCAAAUUCGUGAAGCUUUCCACAUUUUG